rnacentral:rRNA from 1 species
GCUGGGAACUCUGGGGAGACUGCCGGUGAUAAACCGGAGGAAGCGGGGAUGACGUCAAGUCCUCAUGGCCCUUACAUCCCGGGCUACACACGUGCUACAAUGGCAGGUACAGAGGGCUGCAAAGCCGCGAGGUAGAAGCGAAUCCCAGAAAACCUGUCUCAGUCCGGAUUGAAGUCUGCAACUCGACUUCAUGAAGGCGGAAUCGCUAGUAACCGCGAAUCAGCAGGUCCGCGGUCCGAAUACGUUCCCGGGCCUU